CCAACUCAUCUUUAAGCACUACGUACAUAUAUCAUCUUGUUUUCACUCAAUUUUGGAGAGUUGAUAAUCUUAGAGAGGUAGAAAAAGUAGAGUUUUUUUUUAGAGGACCCACACCCCAAGAAAAAAAUUCAAUUCAAGUGUAAAUAUUUAUGUGUUAAAGUGUGAUAUGUGUGGACCAUUCAAGGAAAAAAUUGUGUGCUAUAUGGGACUACCUGCAUAAUUCAACUAAAAUUCAACUAAAGUGAAUUAUUUAAGAAGCACAUAUUAUAUUGUUGAAGAUGUUCUAAAGUACCCCUUUGAGAUGCUCUAAAGUGAGUUGCAUCUUGUUAAGAUGAAAGUAGCUCAAGCUAAAAAAGUCUAAGAUUAAAAUGUUGGUCGGUUUAAAUAAAUACAAAGAGUUUAAUAAUAUUGUUGUUGUUAUAUAGUUCUCACUCCGUCCUAAAAUAAUUAUCAUAUUUAUAAAAAUAUUUGUCAUAAAAUAAUUAUUAUUUUUAAUUUACAAUAUAAUGUUAAUUAUCAUAUUUUAAUUAUAUAAUUUAAUUAAUAUUUUGUGUAUCACUCUCAAGUUAUAAUUUUUUAUUAUGUAUUUAUGACAAUAAAAAUAAUCUAAUAGUUGAUGCGAAUAGUUUUGUAAAAUUAUUAUUCUAUUUUAUUAAUUUAUUAUUUAUUUUAAUCAAUUUGAAAUUGUCAAAUGCGAUGAUUAUUUUGAGAUAAAAUAAAUAAUAAAAUUUUAUAUGAUGUGCUAAAAUUAUAUACAAACUUAUCAUCUACAAAAUUUAAGCUUAAUGACGUAUAGAAACGUUUUGAGUUUGCAAAUUUAUCUACUAAUAACAAAUUUUAAAGGAUAAAUCUUAUUUUUAUCUAUUAAAUUGUUACAAAAAUUGGGAUAUGUGAGAUUAUAUUGUAAAUCUUUAAAUUAGACUAAUAAAUUAUAUUUAGUUUUUCAAGUUCAUUAAACACUUAUAAAAGAAUUUACAUUUGCAUUUCUUUAAUAAUAUUAGUUGAGAUUGAAUUCACAGUACAUCGAAUUUAAUACAUGUCUUUUAUUAUUAGACUAUAUCAUUCAUGUUUUAAAAAAAAGUCUAUUCCACAUAAAAAUAAAAGUUUCUAUAACUAAUACUUUAUUCUUUUACACUUAAUUUUUAACUGUGAUAGGAUCUAUAUAUAACUAAAGUAUUUUAAAACUUUUGAAUUUUUCUUAACCUAUGGUCCCUAGAAAAAAUAGAUCUUGCUAGUCCAAAGUUUAGUUGAGAUGCUCUACCUAAAGUUCAAAGUCAAAGGUUGACAAAAAAAAAAUUGGAACUCUAAAUUUUUUAUUGAUUCAACAUUUAAGUUUUAAAGUUUGAAAUCAAUGUUGUAAUGCUGAUCAACUAUUCUUACCAUUGCAAUAGCGAUACUUCCUCCGAACUCAAAUAUCAAUAUAUCUAAAUCCCAUCGUGCUUACUACUAUUUUCCCCCUAACCUCUAAGUCUUCUCCCUUUUUUCCGGCUACCGAAACUACAAAAGUCCUCUAAACAAUUCAUCUAUAAAUUUUUGUUGACAUUUCAAUAAGUCAUUAACUAAAAAAACAAUUCCCUGAGUCGUUAAUAAGUAAGCUUUUUGAAACCCACCCAAUUUAAUCAAUUAAUAUCGUAAUAUUUAUCAAUGUCAAUUAUUAUCUAUAGCAUACAAUUAAAUUAGAUGCAAAUGAGCCGAGUUGAGUCGAACAUAAGUUCAAUUUGGCUCAACUCGACAAGAAUUGGUUUAACUGGAAAUUCAACUCGAGUUUGUCACGAAAUUAUUUUUCAACUCUAUUCAAGUUUACGGACAACUCGCUUCGCUCGAUAGUUCUAAUCAAAUAAACCAAAAGACAAAAUUGUUAGUGAAAAAGUAUUUUUAAAUGCAAUCUUUUGGUUAAUGUUUUGAUGAUAACAAAUACAUAUAAAUAAAGAACAACUAUUCCCUAACUAUAUAUGUUAAGUGUGUAGAUUAAAGAAAACAAUUAUGUUAAUAACUAUUCAAAGUAGCCUAGAUUACAAGUACUUUAGAGAUCCUCUAUUGGAGUAAAAACGUAAAAGAAAUACUACAGAAGCAAGCGCAUCAAAACAUGUUUCGCCAUAGUAGGAUAUAUCCUCUGGUAAUUUGUCAACAAGAUUUGGUAAAUUUUGCAUUCCAAAAGUAGUGAAAAAGCAUCUAUGAUAUAUUGUCUUUGAUGGUUCAAGUAGUGAACUGCCACAACUGAUUCUGCCUCAGAUAUAGUUCUGCUCAAAUUGUCUCUGCUACAUCUGCCUCUGAUGAAGCAAAUCAGACUCUACUAAAGUCUAUCUCUGAUGAAGCAAACAAGACAUUGUUAAGUCUGCCUCUGAUGAAGCAAGCAAGACUUUGUUAAGUAUGCCUCUGUAAAGCGAGCAAACUUAUGAACAAACUGCCUCUCACCAAUUGCCUAUGAUAUAUUAUCUUUGGAGAUGAAUCAAUCGUCUGAUUACCUCUGCCUCUAAUAAACCCAAUUCAAUUAUGUUCCUAUGCCUUUGAUACUCAAGCAAAAUAAUAAUUCUUAUGCCCUCUAGGUCUAACAAGAAUCCUUCUACAUGUGCCUCUGAUAAUCUCAUCAAGCGUCUGACUCAUAACUAUUAUGUAUCAUAUGGAAAAUCAAUGUUAUAAUAAAGUCAACACUUAGAGAAAAGUAAAUGUCUCUUGUAAAAAGUCAACAUGGAAUAAGUCAAUACUUAUGGUAAAAGUUAACGCUCUGACAAGAGGACAAAAUAUAAUGCAGAAAGGAAUGCACUGCCUCUGAUUAUCAACAAUGCCUCUGAUUAUCUACCUUUGAUUACCAAUAUUGCUUCUCGUCAAUUAAUACUACUUCUAGUUAUUGCCUCUUGUCAAGAAAUCAUGUUUCUGAUGUUCUUGCCUCAUGUCAACUAAACUUGCUUCUGGUACCCGUAAUUUUGGUUAAUAAAUCAUGACUCUGGUACUCCAACCUCUAAUCAAGAAAUCAUGAUUCUUGUAUUAUUAUAUCUGGUCAAGAAAUCAUGAUUCUAGUGUUCUUGCAUUUGGUCAAUAAAUCAUGCUUUUGAUGUUCUUGCCUAUGGUCAAGAAAGUAUACUUCUGGCACUCGUGCUUCUUGUCAAGAAAACACAAUUUUUGUGUUCCUACCUCUAGUCAAGAAAUAAUGCUUAUGAUGUUCUUGCAUUUGAUCACGAAAUCAUGCUUAUGGUUGUUUUGUGCAUCUGAUCAAGUACUUCAGCUUCUUAUUGUUUUUUGUUUUUGAUCAAGUACUUCUACUUCUAAUUGUUUUAUACUUAUGCUAUACAGUUUGAUUUAUUCUCAAAUGAUCUAUUGUUGAAUUCAAAUGAAACACCAUGUUGAAGGACAUAAGGCCAUUCUAUAAAGUACACAAGGCCAUUAUAUGAAGGACAUUCAUCCCUCCCUUGAAGGAUAAAGGCAAUGUUGUAAUUGAUUAUGUAAAAGAACAUGUAUUUUGAACUGAAAGAUGAUGAUAAUAACUUGCAACAUUUUAAAAGAGAAACAAACACAACACAACAAGAAAAACACAUCAAAAAGCCAUAAAUGAAAAAUCAUCUCGGUAGAGAGUUACUAGAAUUGAUGUUAAUUAGUCAAAAUGUUUUCAUACACUUGAACUGAUAUAUGAUUAAAUAUGUAAGAUCCUCACAAUGAGAGAUAGAAUCUUAGAAUCAUACUUUGUGUGAAAUCAGAAACAAACUAGAAUUGAUGCAAACUCGUCAAAAUGUUUUCAUACACUUGAAAUGAUAUAUGAUUGAAUUUGUAAGAUCCUCUCAAUGAGAGUUAGAAUCCUAAAAACAAACUUUGUGUCAAUUUAAACACAAACUUGAACUGAUGUAAAUUACCCCGUUAGUGGAAACAACACUCAUGAACCUCAACGACAGUUUUCCAGAAUAUUGAAGAAUGGUUUUGACGACAACAGUCUGAAGAGACUAGAGAAAGAAUACUUAAAGCUUAAAGAGGCAGAAUAAACAAUACUUGUAAAUCCUGGAGAGGCUGGAGAAAAAAAUACUCAAAGCCUUUAGAAGUAGAGUAAAUAAUACUCGUAAAGCCCAUAGAGGCUGGAGAAAGACUACUCAAGGUUUGAAGAUGCAUAAUAAAUAAUACUUGUAUCCUAUUGUUACAAUAGUGGAUUAAAUCUUCUACAGUACUGAGAUAAAAUCUUUCUGUAAGGGGCGAACUAGAAGUAACAAUUGUUGUGUUGUGAACUAGUAUAAAAAUAUAUAUGUCUUUCUCUUUCACUAUUUCUUUUAUCUUAGUUCUUUAUGAUUCAACUUUAUUUUCACUAAAUCUGAUUUAUAAGAGUAAGUUGAAUGUUUUGAUAAAGAAAAUUUUUGUGUAAAGAAAUCGAAGUAUAAUCUAAAAAUGGCAUACACAAUUCAAACUCUCCCUUUCUUGUAUUUUCCAUCACCUUCAAUUGAUAUCAAAGUCUGUUAUCUUGAUUAAGCACUUUAUUAAGAAAAUUGUUUGAAAUAGUAUUUUUUUUUUAAUAUUUUCUUCAAUGUGUUUAUCUCCUUCAAAACACAGUUUACCAAAAUAUGGAUGAAACGACUAUUUUUGCUUUUAUAAAAAAAUAGAUGAAGUCCUCUUGUUGGCCAUUUUUUUUGUCAACUUCAUCUUCUUUUCAAAGUCUUUUUUGUAUUUGUGCUUUUCUUGUAAAUCACUAUUCAAUGACAAAUUGGAUAAAGUUGGCAUCCUUUUGUAAGGCAUAGUGAAUUACUAAGUGAGAAUAGUCUAUUUACUAAUACUCAUCAUCUGAUAGAAAGAAAUAUUAGUGAAUUAACUAUAAUUGUUAGUGCAAAAUAAUGGAAACAUUUCAACAAUGAACCUAACCAAUCAGGGAUAAGUUUUCCAAAAACUUCAAUGAUCUGUGAUGUAUUUCAAAUGUGCAAGUAACCAUUUAAAAGAAAUUAUCAGUAGUGGAACCUCUCUCCCAACAACACAAAUUCAGAAAGAUGAAUGGCAACAAGUUAAAGAUCAUAAUCAUACCAAAGGUUAAAGGAUAUAGUCAAGCAUCAGUGUUUAAACCAAGAAUGCUUCAAAUGGAUAGAUCAAUCAUAAUCAAUCAUUUGAUCACCAUAAUUUAAGAUGAAGAAUCAAACACAAGUAUAAUAGUUGAAACAAGACUAUCCUCAAAAAAUCUUGAAAUGCAAGAGGACCAAAACUCUCUUGGAAGAUUAUCUUUUGAUCCCUCAAACUAAGAGAACUUUGAAAUAAAAUUGAGUUUAAUAACUCACCAUUUGUUCAAACUCAUGAGUAUAUCAGAAUCUUAAAAGAACUAUCUUGGCAAAUCCUCUAACUACAAGGUCUGGAGUCAUUCCUCUCACUGCUCAAGGAUAAAAUACUUGCCUCUGGUGCGUAACGUGUUUGAUUCAUCAUUUGAGAUUGACAUUUACAAAAUCAAAGCACUAUAACAAAAGGGUUGCAUAUUCUGAGUCAUAAGAAAUAUCAUAACUAAGAUAAAUCAUCCUCUGGUUAGAAGAUCAUCUGAUUAGAAAAGCCCAACAAAAUUUGGUAAGACAUGUAAAAGAGCAAAUGCAAAAUCAUCCUCGUGUGUCUUUGUCAGGUAUCAUGUACUUUACUUCAUAAUUUUUUUAUGCACUUGUUUGUGUUUACUUAUACGUUCUCGCAUUGUGUGUGCCUAUGUUUUUUUUUUUUUUUCUCAUGGCAUAUCUUGAGUCAGUAUUGUUUUUUCAAUCUUGGUUUAUGUUGUGAUGUCCUCAUUCUAUCAUCUUUCUUUGUUCAUCCAAAAAUCUAUUUUUCCUCUUAUCUAUCCUCUCUGCCUAUUUAAAUCUUUCUCUCCUCCAACAAUUUUUCAAAACCAUCCAUUUCUCUCGUAAGUUCUUUUUAUUCCAAAAAUUGCUUUUAUUUAAACUAUCAUAAACUUGAAAUCCUCUAGGAAAAAUCAAAUAUAUAUAUAUAUAUAUAUAUAUAUAUAUAUAUAUAUAUAUCAUUUUCUUUAUCAAGUCUUCAUCUUCCUAAAUGAUCAUCUUCUUAUAUUGUACUCUCAAAGACUUUAGAAUCUUCUUAAAACACGAACUACUCAACCAGAAGGGUGAAAAGUUCAGAGAUCCUAAAUUCGUUACAUAUGUGAACUAUAAUCAACAAGAUGUAUUAUCCAAAAAAGUUCACAAAAUACAUUUAAAGGUUAAUUUGUGGAACCCUUGGGUAUGAAGGUAUCCUUCUUUCUCCAAGUACCUUGAAUACAAGGAGAAAGUAAUAAAAAGAACAAGGGCAUUGGAGGGUUUGUGCCUCCAUUGAGUAUGAGAUUUAUAAGUGUUGAACAUAAUUAAAUAACCACCUUUGAGCAAUAAUAUAACACUAUAAACAAUUUUAUUUGCCUUCAUGGUAUGAAUAAAAAAUAUAUACAUUAUUUCUAAUUUUUAAAUGACACAUGUUUUAUUUCAAAACAAAAUUUAUAAAUCAAAAUAUUAAUACCGGAAGUAGUUGAUUUGAGCAACAAAUGCAAUAAUAUCUCACAUUAGACUCGUUGCAAUUUUUUUACAAUGUUAGAGAUGAAGUUUGGGUUCCCUAUAAACAAUGAAGUUGUAUGUCUUUUUAGCAACUUUCAAAUCAUAUAAAAAUGUUAGUUUUUUGAAAUAUUUUUAUUUCAUUUCAAAAUAACAUUUAUAAUACUUUCAACAUUAUUUUCAAACAAUUUAAUAUUUACACCUAAAAAAUUAUAUAAAAUUGGUGAUAUAUAUAUAUAUAUAUAUAUAUAUAUAUAUAUGGUUCAUUAAUCAAACAAUUCGAAUUAUACAUAGCUCAAGUUCAACCCAUUUAUUUAGCGAAUUCAUUUUUCAACUCAAGUUUGAUUCAUGAGCCAAGUUCAACGAGCUAAUUAUCAAAUUAAAUGUCGAACUAUUUUCGAGUUGGUUCGACUCAUUGACAGACUUAGAUUAAAUGAUUGAAACUACAAUAAAAUCUCAUUUAACUCAUUGGAUUGAAAAUAACACCUAUCGUUAACUCUAAAGUAAUGCAUUGAUGUAUUAUUGAUAAAAUGCAACGAUCUUCCUACUAAUGAAAUAUCAUUUACAUAUUGCUUUGUAACAUAUCAUUUAUCUUUAACUAUAAUUCUUGCAUAGGUACACUCAUUUACUUGUAUUACUUAAUACUUGAUGUAAUUAUCUAAGUGUUCUACAUCAUUUGCUAGAAAGGAAAUGAACUCAUUUAUGCACUUUUUUUUAUAGAUGCUACGUAAAUUUUAAUUAUUAAACAUUUUCAAUUUUCAAUGCAUCAUUAAUAUUAUGUCAUUUUCGAUGCACAUUAAUACCGAAUUACUUUUUAGAAACCAUUAAUAUUUUAUCACUCUCAAUGCACAAUUAAUUUACAAGAAUUCUCGAUGUACAUAUUUAUAAAUCUACGUGACAAUUAAUCGUUAGUCAUUUUCAAUUCAUAAUUAAUGUGCAGUCAUUCUCAAUGCACCAUUAAUGUAUAGUCAUUCUCAAUACACCAUUAAUGUUCAAUAUUUGUUAAUGCUUUUAAUAUUUUUUUAAUUGUACUCUUUAAUUAAUAAUACUUGUAUUACUUCCAAAUUAAUAUCAUCUACUUUUUUGUUUUGGUAUUAGAAGAUAUCAUAAUUACGAUAAUAAUUAACUGACACAAUUGUGAGGUUCUGAAUUCAAACUCGAGACAAGACGUCGAAUCUAACAAUAUUUAUAUUUGUAUUUUUCAGUUGAGUUAUAACCUAAAGACUAAUAUAAUUUAUUUUAUAUUAAUGAUAAUAGUGAAUAAAUCAAUAAUUAAUAAAAAUAAUUUAAUAAAAAUAUUAUUCUAUCCAUAUAUUUAUUUAUUUAUUAAAGAUUUAGAUCAUCUCAUUUUAGUAUCUCAUAUUCUCUCUCAUAUUAAGAGAGAUAGAGAUACAAAUACUUUUUUGUAUAUCAUAUAAUUUUUAUAAAAAUUAUUUUUAUGUUGCUUAAAUAUUUGUCUCUCAACAUUAGGGAAAAAAGAAAAGAAAAUGUAAUUUUUUUUAAUACAUGUGAAAUCUUAAAUUACCCAUUAUUAUAGUACAAAUGAAGCAUCAUUAAUAAGUGUGAAAUUUUAGAGAGCACAAUGCAGAGAUACUCGUUAGUGUAACCAUUUAUCGAGUCUGUAUUUGAAGUAGAAGGGAGUAUUUAAUUUACCAAUUGUUUUCCUAGUUUUCAGUACACCCUUCCCAAAUUUCUGCUGAGCUAGCACUAAAAAUCAAAAUAAAAAAAACAAUUUAAUUUCACAAAAUUUGUAUACACAUGAACAAAAACGGCAAUGAAUUUGGGCAUAAGCUCCUAUAAAUGAACCCUCUUGCUCACAUAACUCCAACAUCACUUCCCAGUUCUCACUCUCUUAAACAGAGAAAUGGCCAAAACCCUAACAUUACUGUUACUCUUACUCCAACUAACCUCUUUCACUGUCUUUUCUGNNNNNNNNNNNNNNNNNNNNNNNNNNNNNNNNNNNNNNNNNNUCUUUCCCCCAGUUACCCUCCAACUAAGUCACCGGUUCACCCACCGGCGAACGCCCCUCACCACCAUCAUCACCACCACCACAUUCACUCACCAUCCCCUGCUCCUACCCCUGUUAAUGUCCACCCUGCUCCUCCUACACAUUCUCCCUACCCUUCUACCCCUGUACCUGCUAAACCACCAACUCAUCACCACCAUGUCCAUCACCACCCUCCUCCCCCUGUUAAACCACCUGUUCACACACCUAUUGUAACCCAUCCACCAUUGUACACACCUGUUCCAACUCACCCACCACUGCACCCCCCUGUUCCAGCUCACCCACCAUUGCACCCCCCUUCAGUUCCAGCUCACCCACCAUUUCAUUCCACUCCCAUUCCUAGAAGCUUUAUUGCAGUUCAAGGUGUUGUUUAUGUCAAAUCAUGCAAAUAUUCUGGGGUUGAUACCCUCUUGGGAGC
rnacentral:lncRNA from 1 species